rnacentral:tRNA from 1 species
UGAUGUAGCUUAAAAGGAGAGUACUUGCCUAGCAUGCAGGAGGCCCUGGAUUCAAUUUCCAAUACAACAA